rnacentral:rRNA from 1 species
GACGAACGCUGGCGGCGUGCUUAACACAUGCCAGUCGAACGGAAAGGCCCCUUUGGGGGUACUCGAGUGGCGAACGGGUGAGUAACACGUGAGUAACCUGCCCUUGACUUCGGGAUAACUUCAGGAAACUGGGGCUAAUACCGGAUAGGAAUCCUUGCUGCAUGGUGGGGUUGGAAAGCUUCGGCGGUUUUGGAUGGACUCGCGGCUUAUCAGCUUGUUGGUGGGGUAGUGGCUUACCAAGGCUUUGACGGGUAGCCGGCCUGAGAGGGCGACCGGCCACAUUGGGACUGAGAUACGGCCCAGACUCCUACGGGAGGCAGCAGUGGGGAAUAUUGCACAAUGGGCGGAAGCCUGAUGCAGCAACGCCGCGUGCGGGAUGACGGCCUUCGGGUUGUAAACCGCUUUCAGCAGGGGCGAAGCUUGUGGUGACGGUACCUGCAGAAGAAGCACCGGCUAACUACGUG